AGAAUGAGAUGCAGGUGAUUUACAUACCAGCCCAGUUUCAUCCAUUCACAGCCAGUUUGUCAAAGUUGCCAUGUUUUUACUUGCUACUUGCUUUUAAGCUUCUGAUCCUUAUAUCCCAUUAUCUUGUCAUCCUGUUACUUGAAAUCUGCCUGCCUAUAUGACAUCCUGCCUGAUUUUGUACUGCCUUCAUGGGGGCAACAUGGAGCAUGAACCUGCACCUGUGAAGCAAAACUGAAGAUGGAGACAAAACACACAGAGACAACACUGUAUCACAAUGAGUCAACAAGUUAGUUUUGGCAGGAGAAAGUCUUUCUUAAUUGGUCGGGGUGUGGUGCCAAGACUCUUUCCAAGAGUGAAGUAGUGAGCCGAUGCCAGCAGAAUAGCCAGGCCACAGGAGGAAGGAGUAUUGUUCUUGGCAUGGAUUGAAGCGACCAAGUCCAAGCACCCAGAUGGACUCCAACAGGCUCCAGCAAUAAUACACACACUGGGAGGAGAAUAGAGGUCACCUCAGGAUACAAACACAAUAAAUCCAUUGUGACUGGCUGUCUCUUUUCAAAGACUUUUCAGAUCGUGUCCUCUGCACAUCGAGGACAACCUGGUGAACAAUCAGUCUCAAAUGUAAACAGAGACCCGGCCUUCAAAAACAGCUUAAGUGGGAACGCUGAAAGCAUCAAUGUGCCGAGCUUUGGCUGGUCUGAUUUCUUUUAUAUGUACACCACAAACACAGAAUAACCUCGGCUGCCUUCUUUUACUGUGUAAGCAUUAUCGAGUUUCAGUCAUUGUUAGGCUCCUGUCCAAGAACUACUUCAGUGCAAAAAUUCAUUAUGUAAGUGCACCAGCACUGCACUGUUUGAACUUAAAAGAUGCCUCUGCAUGA